rnacentral:rRNA from 1 species
AUGAACGCUAGCUACAGGCUUAACACAUGCAAGUCGAGGGGCAGCAUGGUCUUAGCUUGCUAAGACUGAUGGCGACCGGCGCACGGGUGAGUAACACGUAUCCAACCUGCCGUCUACUCUUGGACAGCCUUCUGAAAGGAAGAUUAAUACAAGAUGGCAUCAUGAGUCCACAUGUUCACAUGAUUAAAGGUAUUCCGGUAGACGAUGGGGAUGCGUUCCAUUAGAUAGUAGGCGGGGUAACGGCCCACCUAGUCUUCGAUGGAUAGGGGUUCUGAGAGGAAGGUCCCCCACAUUGGAACUGAGACACGGUCCAAACUCCUACGGGAGGCAGCAGUGAGGAAUAUUGGUCAAUGGGCGAGAGCCUGAACCAGCCAAGUAGCGUGAAGGAUGACUGCCCUAUGGGUUGUAAACUUCUUUUAUAAAGGAAUAAAGUCGGGUAUGCAUACCCGUUUGCAUGUACUUUAUGAAUAAGGAUCGGCUAACUCCGUGCCAGCAGCCGCGGUAAUACGGAGGAUCCGAGCGUUAUCCGGAUUUAUUGGGUUUAAAGGGAGCGUAGAUGGAUGUUUAAGUCAGUUGUGAAAGUUUGCGGCUCAACCGUAAAAUUGCAGUUGAUACUGGAUAUCUUGAGUGCAGUUGAGGCAGGCGGAAUUCGUGGUGUAGCGGUGAAAUGCUUAGAUAUCACGAAGAACUCCGAUUGCGAAGGCAGCCUGCUAAGCUGCAACUGACAUUGAGGCUCGAAAGUGUGGGUAUCAAACAGGAUUAGAUACCCUGGUAGUCCACACGGUAAACGAUGAAUACUCGCUGUUUGCGAUAUACGGCAAGCGGCCAAGCGAAAGCGUUAAGUAUUCCACCUGGGGAGUACGCCGGCAACGGUGAAACUCAAAGGAAUUGACGGGGGCCCGCACAAGCGGAGGAACAUGUGGUUUAAUUCGAUGAUACGCGAGGAACCUUACCCGGGCUUAAAUUGCAGAUGAAUUACGGUGAAAGCCGUAAGCCGCAAGGCAUCUGUGAAGGUGCUGCAUGGUUGUCGUCAGCUCGUGCCGUGAGGUGUCGGCUUAAGUGCCAUAACGAGCGCAACCCUUGUUGUCAGUUACUAACAGGUCAUGCUGAGGACUCUGACAAGACUGCCAUCGUAAGAUGUGAGGAAGGUGGGGAUGACGUCAAAUCAGCACGGCCCUUACGUCCGGGGCUACACACGUGUUACAAUGGGGGGUACAGAGGGCCGCUACCACGCGAGUGGAUGCCAAUCCCAAAAACCUCUCUCAGUUCGGACUGGAGUCUGCAACCCGACUCCACGAAGCUGGAUUCGCUAGUAAUCGCGCAUCAGCCACGGCGCGGUGAAUACGUUCCCGGGCCUUGUACACACCGCCCGUCAAGCCAUGGGAGCCGGGGGUACCUGAAGUGCGUAACCGCGAGGAGCGCCCUAGGGUAAAACUGGUGACUGGGGCU